rnacentral:tRNA from 3 species
GUUAAGAUGGCAGAGCCCGGAAAUUGCAUAAGACUUAAACCCUUACUCC